rnacentral:rRNA from 1 species
ACUCCUACGGGAGGCAGCAGUGGGGAAUUUUGGACACUGGGCGAAAGCCUGAUCCAGCCAUGCCGCGUGCAGGAUGAAGGCCUUCGGGUUGUAAACUGCUUUUGUACGGAACGAAACGGCCUUUUCUAAUAAAGAGGGCUAAUGACGGUACCGUAAGAAUAAGCACCGGCUAACUACGUGCCAGCAGCCGCGGUAAUACGUAGGGUGCAAGCGUUAAUCGGAAUUACUGGGCGUAAAGCGUGCGCAGGCGGUUAUGUAAGACAGUUGUGAAAUCCCCGGGCUCAACCUGGGAACUGCAUCUGUGACUGCAUAGCUAGAGUACGGUAGAGGGGGAUGGAAUUCCGCGUGUAGCAGUGAAAUGCGUAGAUAUGCGGAGGAACACCGAUGGCGAAGGCAAUCCCCUGGACCUGUACUGACGCUCAUGCACGAAAGCGUGGGGAGCAAACAGGAUUAGAAACCCCGGUAGUCCCAUG